rnacentral:misc_RNA from 1 species
UACUUACACAGGCAUGGCUUAAUCUUUGAGACAAGCAUAUGACUACUGGCAGGAUCAACCAGGUAGCAUCCUUUCUCGACUUCGGAACCGCAUUGCUGCCACGGGCCUGGACGGCCYGCGGUCAAUGAGGUAUCGAGAGUCGUUCCGAUCGAGGGACUUUGAUUGGGAGCAACAGGAGGCCGAGACCCCCCCAUGUCCGCUUAAUUUUCCACAUCCGAGAGCGCGAGCAGUCGUCCUGUGCACCGAGACAGCCACGACAACAGUCAGAGGACAUGUCCGGGACACGGUGCCUGCUUUCGAGGUCCACUUUGCAGCCGCAGAGCCACAAGGGGGAAAGGGGCGGGGCUAUCUCACGAAACUUUCCACACGAUGGGAA